GUGCACAUGACCCAUGAAACCAAGACAAGAAAUGAAAACACAAACUCCUUUCUCUUGGGCCUUUAAAAUCGGGCUUCGCGAGGAGGGUAGUUUUCCAUCUCUUCUACGUCUGCUUUCCACCCUAUUAGCGUGAUACCCAUAUUCUCGGCGAUUGCUAGAGUAACAGUUUCCUAGUUAGACUAUACUUCCGCCCAUGUCCAAGAUGGCGGUUGAGCGGCCUUCCUAACCAUUACGGGGGUUUGGAGGCGUCUGAAGUUUGUGGUGGUGGUGGGUGCAACGGUUAGUAUACAAGCAAAGGCAGGAGCUCGGGUGGCCAUGGAAUCGGCCAAGGACUGGAAAGAAAUUCUCCGCCGGCGCUUAGCAACGCCCAGCACCCGCCCAAACAGAUGAAAUCUUUGACAUGGUGAAAGUGAAGGAUCCUUUCAAAAUCUCUCUUCAGGAUUUAAUCAGCAGUAAUCAAGGAGACACAGUCGCACCAUUCUAACUCAUCUGAAUGGCUUCUGGACUUAUGAGAACAGAGAAGCCCUUGUUGCAAAUGACAACUAAAACUCUGCAGACACUGAUGAUUCAUGAUCUCAGAAAGACUAAAUUGUAUUCAUUAAGAUGUCCUUGUUGGCUGCAUGCAAAACUCUGAGGCAGACUUCUUAUGUAAUGGUCUAAAUAAAACACUUCCAACUGCCUAUAGGA